rnacentral:piRNA from 1 species
UCAGAGGGGUGUCCAGAUGCUUAGACAUGU